UACGUAGGGGGCGAGCGUUGUCCGGAGUUACUGGGCGUAAAGCGCACGCAGGCGGUCUGUUAAGUUUGGAGUGACAGUUGGUGGCUCAACCACCAAAGUGCUUUGAAAACUGAUAGACUUGAGGGCUUCAGAGGGACACGGAAUUCCGGGUGGAGUGGUGAAAUGCGUAGAGAUCAGGAGGAACACCAAAGGCGAAGGCAGUGUCCUGGGGAGUACCUGACGCUCAGGUGCGAAAGCCAGGGGAGCGAACAGG
rnacentral:rRNA from 1 species